rnacentral:lncRNA from 10 species
GAACACCAGCCCCAUCUUUUCACCAUGGAGCUUCCAGAGCUGACUUUGAAGUAUAAAGAGAAAGACCGGAUGUUGGGCCACAGUAGAGGGCUUCCACCAAAGGAGGGGUCUGGGGGCAAAGCAGGCAAAGAGGCAAGCUCCAGGCAGGGGCUGCCAGCAAGCAGGCUUCUCUCGAUGGGUACAACAGUGCUGUAAAGCUGACAAACAGAGUUUGGCUUCACUUGAAGGUGUGAAAAGAACAGCCUGACUCUGAGAGGCAAGUCCGCCAAGCCCAGGACCCUAGGGCACCUGGUUCUCACCAUUGCCUGCAAUGCCGCAGCCACUUCCCAAGUCAGGAGGGCAGCUGAAGUCCUGCACUGGGGACAGUUGGGUCAGCUGUGUCUGUUAGACAUCCCCCGAUGACACAGAAUGCCUCUCUCCUCUGAGAGCAGGACAGUGUGUUUAGACAGUCCCUGGUAAAUGUGAGCAGCCAUGAGAAAGGCAGCCUUAAGUGGCUCAAAUUAACCUCUUCUAUGGAUACAGAGUUGAGCUCCAUCAUUCACUCCCCACGAGAGAAAGAUUGCUGUGGCCUUAAGCAGUGGAAGCAGAACUGUUAUUAUUAUUUUUAAGUUGAUGCAAAAAAGGACUUCUUUCUCCACUUUGAAUAUGUUGUCAUCUUGGGUGAGGCAAGAGGACCAUGUAAGGUGGUGACAAGCACUGUUGGCUUUUUUGGGAGAGCAUUGGCUGACUCCAUCCACUACUCUGGGGUGACAAGACGGGAAAAACCACGGUUUACCAGCCAGAAACAAGAUAAGCGCCUUGCAGGGGCCCUUAACUGACUGCUGGGUUCGAUGGUUCAAAGAGAAAAAGCACGUGAUAACUUUGAAGGAGGCUGCCUGGCUGAGCUGAUCGGAUCACCUAGAGACUGGAAAUGCUUUCUGGCAGUGCCUGAUCCUCUACUGGGUGUUCAACACUGGCUGCAUUUAUGGAGACCACAGACAAAAGAUGGAAACAGCCUCCACCGGCAUGGGGAUCAGGCAUGGGGCAAACACAGGAGACAAAACAGGAGAAUCUCCCGAGAACACCCUCUGAUCAGCACUCUGCAUGCAAUUUCCAUCUCAGACUCUGUUUCUAGGAAGACUUUCAGGCAGCUGACACUGGACGUGGUUGUGAGUUGCAGGCCCUAAUGAAAAAUUGGAGAGGAAGCAGGUGGCCGGCUGAUGAAAUGAUAACCAGAAGGCCUGUGGGCUUGGGUGGCUGAGGCUGAGGCUACUGAGUGUUGAAGAGAGAGAGGCAGAGGCGCAGGAUGACUCAUCACUGGUUUCAGGCAAACUGUGAAAGCCAGAGCACUUCCUUGGCAGCAUUUAAGAAAACCCCGAUGAUCUGCAGCUGGAAGGCAGGUUGGCUGGAGGACCAGUCUGAACCCUGAGUAGGUUAAGUUCUCAGUCCUUCAGACACAGGGCUCUAAUGGGAAAGAGGUGAGACCCUUACACUUAGGGUGGGAGCCCUGGACAGUUGGGAACCCUGAACACUUACAUGCCCCUGAGUCCCCUGGGCCUGCAGAAAUGGCCUAUUUCUCAUGUCAUGUAGAAGAUUGUAGACUGCUUGAACCUGGGAGGCGGAGCUUGCAGUGAGCCCAGAUUGCACCAUUGCACUCCAGCCUGGGCAACAGAGCGAGACUCGGUCAAAAAAAAAAAAAAAAAAAAGCAAGACUUUCCUUUUCUGAAGAUCAUACAGAGGUCUCAAAUGAGUCUGAAGUCACCUGCCCUAUCUGGACAUUCCAUAGACUACCACUUUUACCCACGACUUCGAUGUGGCAUGCUCAUUGGACCAGAUAAGCAAGCAGUGGCAAGUGGAUUGGAGGUCUUGGUAACCAGUUCAACCAAAAUCCUGGGACAGCUGUUCCCUGAUGCGGCACACUUCCUAGAAGAAGCAAGUGAAUUUAAAGCAGAGUGAACUGUAGAGGAGUUCACGACCAAAUCUCUGAUGCUUUCCCCAGAUCUUUCUUCAGGGCCAACACAUCCAUUGCUCAGCUGUGAUAGACAGCAGUCAGGGGUGGCUCACCUCUCUCACUGGGAAUUGCUCUCAGCAGUAGGGAACUCAUUCAGGGUUAAGGCAUCUCCUUGAGGAGGCCCAUGUUCAAUUACUGGUUGACACAGGAAUAUGAAGGCCUGGCCCUCGUCUCAGCUUGGAAUAAAUCUGAAGGCCCAUCACAGCUUCAGAGAUGCUUGGAGAAGGCUGAGGUCUCCCCUGUAACCUUAUGAGAACCUUGAGUUGUUGAACUCAUUAAUUCUUUGGGACCAUCUUCCUGAUGUUCAAGUUUGUGAAACAGGCUUUCCCUUUAAGAUUUGUUUUCCUCAAAAUACAAGACUAUUGAUGCUUCAGUUUUGAAGUGGAUUCUGCACUCAAGAAAUGUACCAUUGAAGAAUGGGACUGGUAGGAAGGGAAAAAAACUAAAAGGAAACGCAUUUUCGAGUUGCACAUCAUGAUCAGGCACAGAGUCCAGAUACACUUGGAGUAGCAAGCAUCCAUCCUUGUGGAGACGCACAUGAACCAGGACUCUCUGCACCCACCCCUCUCAAGUUUUAUUUUCCGACGGCUGUAAUGUUCCAGGACACCUGCCAUCAUGGAGGGUUAUCCAGCACCUGGAGGAUACCUGCUACCUGGUGAAGGACUUUAGUACGAUGGUCAAGACAAGAACCGUGGAGUCAGAAUGCCUGCAUGCAGAUCUCAUCACCAUGGGAAUCAUUGAGGGUUUACUGAACGAGUGCUAUUGUAAACAGAGUCAGUGUCAACACCAGAAAGUGCUUCCUGAUCUGGCAGUUUAAUUGCUCUCCUGAUUUCCAUGCUUUUCACUCUUUAUGAAAUGUGACGUUUUCUCUACAUCUUGUACAAAUACAG